CCUACGGGAGGCAGCAGUGGGGAAUAUUGCACAAUGGGCGCAAGCCUGAUGCAGCAACGCCGCGUGAGGGACGACGGCCUUCGGGUUGUAAACCUCUUUUAGCAGGGAAGAAGCGCAAGUGACGGUACCUGCAGAAGAAGCACCGGCUAACUACGUGCCAGCAGCCGCGGUAAU
rnacentral:rRNA from 1 species